AGUGGGGAAUCUUGCGCAAUGGGCGAAAGCCUGACGCAGCGACGCCGCGUGAGCGAUGAAGGCCUUCGGGUUGUAAAGCUCUGUGGGGAGGAAAGAAUAAGGCUUGGCUAAUAUCCAAGUCGAUGACGGUACCUCCUUAGCAAGCACCGGCUAACUCUGUGCCAGCAGCCGCGGUAAGACAGAGGGUGCAAACGUUGUUCGGAAUUACUGGGCGUAAAGCGCGUGUAGGCGGCUCUGCAAGUCGGAUGUGAAAUCCCACGGCUCAACCGUGGAAGUGCAUUCGAAACUGCAGGGCUAGAGUCCUGGAGAGGAAGGUGGAAUGCUUGGUGUAGAGGUGAAAUUCGUAGAUAUCAAGCGGAACACCGGUGGCGAAGGCGGCCUUCUGGACAGUGACUGACGCUGAGACGCGAAAGCGUGGGGAGCAAA
rnacentral:rRNA from 1 species